rnacentral:rRNA from 1 species
CCUACGGGAGGCAGCAGUGGGGAAUAUUGGACAAUGGGGGCAACCCUGAUCCAGCCAUACCGCGUGUGUGAAGAAGGCCCUCGGGUUGUAAAGCACUUUCAGUGAGGAAGAACGCCUGGUGGUUAAUACCCAUCAGGAAAGACAUCACUCACAGAAGAAGCACCGGCUAACUCCGUGCCAGCAGCCGCGGUAAUACGGAGGGUGCGAGCGUUAAUCGGAAUUACUGGGCGUAAAGCGCGCGUAGGUGGCUUGAUAAGCCGGUUGUGAAAGCCCCGGGCUCAACCUGGGAACGGCAUCCGGAACUGUCAAGCUAGAGUGCAGGAGAGGAAGGUAGAAUUCCCGGUGUAGCGGUGAAAUGCGUAGAGAUCGGGAGGAAUACCAGUGGCGAAGGCGGCCUUCUGGACUGACACUGACACUGAGGUGCGAAAGCGUGGGUAGCAAACAGGAUUAGAUACCCUUGUAGUC